CUACGGGGCGCUCCAGUGGGGAAUAUUGCGCAAUGGGGGCAACCCUGACGCAGCAACGCCGCGUGCGGGAUGACGGCCUUCGGGUUGUAAACCGCUUUCAGCAGGGAAGACAUCGACGGUACCUGCAGAAGAAGCCCCGGCUAACUACGUGCCAGCAGCCGCGGUAAUACGUAGGGGGCGAGCGUUAUCCGGAUUCAUUGGGCGUAAAGCGCGCGCAGGCGGACCGCUAAGCGGGACCUCUAACCCCGGGGCUCAACCCCGGGCCGGGUCCCGAACUGGCGGUCUCGGGUGCGGUAGAGGCAGGCGGAAUUCCCGGUGUAGCGGUGGAAUGCGCAGAUAUCGGGAAGAACACCGAUGGCGAAGGCAGCCUGCUGGGCCGUCACCGACGCUGAGGCGCGAAAGCCGGGGGAGCGAACAGGAUUAGAUACCCCGGUAGUC
rnacentral:rRNA from 1 species